rnacentral:lncRNA from 1 species
AUGCUGGAUCCUGCAUUGUGUGUAUAUAUAAUCACUGAUCGAUUGGAAUCCUGCAUUGAUCAAUCACUACUUAACUCUUCUCCAGGUUACCUUACUACUACAGCACCACACCACCAGAUAACCUUAGGAAUGCUAACCAAUCACAGAUUCACUAAUGAGGAUAUAAGCCGUGUCGCUCUCACUGUUCGACUACUAUGCCUGCCUGGUCCCACCUCCCUCCCUUUCUCUCUCUCCCCCCUCCCUCCCUUUCUCUCUCUCCCCCCCUCCCUCCCUUUCUCUCUCUCCCCCCUCCCUCCCUUUCUCUCUCUCCCCCCUCCCUCCCUUUCUCUCUCUCCCCCCUCUCUCCCUUUCUCUCUCUCCCCCCUCUCUCCUCCCUCUCUCCCUUUCUCUCUCUCCUCUCCCUCUCCCCCCUCUCUCCUCCCUCUCUCCCUUUCUCUCUCUCCUCCCUCUCUCCCUUUCUCUCUCUCCUCCCUCUCUCCCUUUCUCUCUCUCCCCCCUCUCUCCCUUUCUCUCACUCCCCCCUCCCUUUCUCUCUCCCCCCUCCCCCCCCUUCUCUCUCUCCCUUUCUCUCCCUUUCUCUCACUCCCCCCUCCCUCCCUUUCUCUCUCCCCCCUCCCUCCCUUUCUCUCUCUCCUCCCUCUCUCCCCCCUCCCUCCCUUUCUCUCUCUCCUCCCUCUCUCCCUUUCUCUCACUCCCCCUCCCUCCCUUUCUCUCACUCCCCCCUCCCUCCCUUUCUCUCUCUCCCCCUCCCUCCCUUUCUCUCUCUCCCCCUCCCUCCCUUUCUCUCUCUCCCCCUCCCUCCCUUUCUCUCUCUCCCCCUCCCUCCCUUUCUCUCUCUCCCCUCUCCCUCUCUCCCUUUCUCUCACUCCCCUCUCCCUCUCUCCCUUUCUCUCACUCCCCUCUCCCUCUCUCCCUUUCUCUCACUCCCCUCUCCCUCUCUCCCUUUCUCUCACUCCCCUCUCCCUCUCUCCCUUUCUCUCACUCCCCUCUCCCUCUCUCCCUUUCUCUCACUCCCCCCUCCCUCUCUCCCUUUCUCUCACUCCCCCCUCCCUCUCUCCCUUUCUCUCACUCCCCCCUCCCUCUCUCCCUUUCUCUCACUCCCCCCUCCCUCUCUCCCUUUCUCUCACUCCCCCCUCCCUCUCUCCCUUUCUCUCACUCCCCCCUCCCUCUCUCCCUUUCUCUCACUCCCCCCUCCCUCUCUCCCUUUCUCUCACUCCCCCCUCCCUCUCUCCCUUUCUCUCACUCCCCCCCUCCCUCUCUCCCUUUCUCUCACUCCCCCCCUCCCUCUCUCCCUUUCUCUCACUCCCCCCCUCCCUCUCUCCCUUUCUCUCACUCCCCCCCUCCCUCUCUCACUCCCCCUCUCUUCUCUCUCCCUCUCUCUCUCCCCCUCUCUCCCCCUCCCUCCCUCUCUCCCUCUACCUGUCUGUAGAAUAA